rnacentral:rRNA from 1 species
GAUGAACGCUGGCGGCGUGCCUAAUACAUGCAAGUCGAGCGAACAGACGAGGAGCUUGCUCCUCUGACGUUAGCGGCGGACGGGUGAGUAACACGUGGAUAACCUACCUAUAAGACUGGGAUAACUUCGGGAAACCGGAGCUAAUACCGGAUAAUACAUUGAACCGCAUGGUUCAAUAGUGAAAGACGGUUUUGCUGUCACUUAUAGAUGGAUCCGCGCCGCAUUAGCUAGUUGGUAAGGUAACGGCUUACCAAGGCGACGAUGCGUAGCCGACCUGAGAGGGUGAUCGGCCACACUGGAACUGAGACACGGUCCAGACUCCUACGGGAGGCAGCAGUAGGGAAUCUUCCGCAAUGGGCGAAAGCCUGACGGAGCAACGCCGCGUGAGUGAUGAAGGUCUUCGGAUCGUAAAACUCUGUUAUUAGGGAAGAACAAAUGUGUAAGUAACUAUGCACGUCUUGACGGUACCUAAUCAGAAAGCCACGGCUAACUACGUG